rnacentral:rRNA from 1 species
AGCGAACGCUGGCGGCAUGCCUAACACAUGCAAGUCGAACGAGACCUUCGGGUCAAGUGGCGCACGGGUGCGUAACGCGUGGGAAGCUGCCCUUAGGCUCGGAAUAACACCCCGAAGGGGGUGCUAAUACAGGAUAAUGUAUGCGAACCACACAUAUAUCGCGCUUGGGUGGGCCGGCGUUGACUUAACUAGUUGGUAGGGUAAAAGCCUACCACGGAGACGAUCCAUAGCUGGGAUGAGAGGCUGAUCAGCCACACUGGGACUGAGACACGGCCGAGACUACUACAGGAGGCAGCAGUGGGGAAUCUUGGACAAUGGGCUAGGGCCUGAUCCAGUAAUGCCGUGUGAGGGAUGAAGUUCUGAGAGUAGUAAAGCACUUUUACCCGGGGUGAUACUGACGGUACCGGAAGAAUAAGCACCGGCUAACUCCGUG